ACGGGUGAGUAACACGUGGGUAACCUGCCCAUCAGAAGGGGAUAACACUUGGAAACAGGUGCUAAUACCGUAUAACACUAUUUUCCGCAUGGAAGAAAGUUGAAAGGCGCUUUUGCGUCACUGAUGGAUGGACCCGCGGUGCAUUAGCUAGUUGGUGAGGUAACGGCUCACCAAGGCCACGAUGCAUAGCCGACCCGAGAGGGUGAUCGGCCACACUGGGACUGAGACACGGCCCAGACUCCUACGGGAGGCAGCAGUAGGGAAUCUUCGGCAAUGGACGAAAGUCUGACCGAGCAACGCCGCGUGAGUGAAGAAGGUUUUCGGAUCGUAAAACUCUGUUGUUAGAGAAGAACAAGGAUGAGAGUAAAAUGCUCAUCCCUUGACGGUACCUAACCAGAAAGCCACGGCUAACUACGUGCCAGCAGCCGCGGUAAUACGUAGGUGGCAAGCGUUGUCCGGAUUUAUUGGGCGUAAAGCGAGCGCAGGCGGUUUCUUAAGUCUGAUGUGAAAGCCCCCGGCUCAACCGGGGAGGGUCAUUGGAAACUGGGAGACUUGAGUGCAGAAGAGGAGAGUGGAAUUCCAUGUGUAGCGGUGAAAUGCGUAGAUAUAUGGAGGAACACCAGUGGCGAAGGCGGCUCUCUGGUCUGUAACUGACGCUGAGGCUCGAAAGCGUGGGGAGCGAACAGGAUUAGAUACCCUGGUAGUCCACGCCGUAAACGAUGAGUGCUAAGUGUUGGAGGGUUUCCGCCCUUCAGUGCUGCAGCAAACG
rnacentral:rRNA from 1 species